UGGGGAAUAUUGCACAAUGGGCGCAAGCCUGAUGCAGCCAUGCCGCGUGUGUGAAGAAGGCCUUCGGGUUGUAAAGCACUUUCAGCGAGGAGGAAGGUGGUGAGCUUAAUACGCUCAUCAAUUGACGUUACUCGCAGAAGAAGCACCGGCUAACUCCGUGCCAGCAGCCGCGGUAAUACGGAGGGUGCAAGCGUUAAUCGGAAUUACUGGGCGUAAAGCGCACGCAGGCGGUUUGUUAAGUCAGAUGUGAAAUCCCCGGGCUCAACCUGGGAACUGCAUUUGAAACUGGCAAGCUAGAGUCUCGUAGAGGGGGGUAGAAUUCCAGGUGUAGCGGUGAAAUGCGUAGAGAUCUGGAGGAAUACCGGUGGCGAAGGCGGCCCCCUGGACGAAGACUGACGCUCAGGUGCGAAAGCGUGGGCAGCAAACAGGAUUAGAUACCCUGGUAGUCCACGCUGUAAACGAUGUCGAUUUUGGAGGUUGUGCCCUUGAGGCGUGGCUUCCGGAGCUAACGCGUUAAAUCGACCGCCUGGGGAGUACGGCCGCAAGGUUAAAACUCAAAGGAAUUGACGGGGUCUAGCUG
rnacentral:rRNA from 1 species